GCCGGAGCCAAGGGAGUCCAGGCUGCCGGGGGCUGCAGACAUGGAGGGCCAGAGCAGCAGGGGCAGCAGGAGGCCAGGGACCCGGGCUGGCCUGGGUUCCCUGCCCAUGCCCCAGGGUGUUGCCCAAACUGGGGCACCCUCCAAGGAUCACUGUGGUCACAUGGAACGUGGGCACUGCCAUGCCCCCAGACGAUGUCACAUCCCUCCUCCACCUGGGCGGUGGUGACGACAGCGACGGCGCAGACAUGAUCGCCAUAGGGUUGCAGGAAGUGAACUCCAUGCUCAACAAGCGACUCAAGGAUGCCCUCUUCACGGACCAGUGGAGUGAGCUGUUCAUGGAUGCACUGGGGCCCUUCAACUUCGUGCUGGUAACGCACCCCUCACCCCCUGGAUGGCCAGAGACCCUGCUGAAUUCCUGGCUCCAGCUGUACCCUGGCUCACUGUGGGUCCCGCUGGGCCUCUGUGGCUGGGUCCGUGACAUGGGUGGGUGGAGGAGCAGACCUGAAGGUGGGCGUGAGGGCGGGGGAGUUGUGUUCUGUCCCCCAGCCAUGUGGCCUCCUGCUGCAGGUGAGUUCGGUGAGGAUGCAGGGUGUCAUCCUGCUGCUGUUCGCCAAGUACUACCACCUGCCCUUCCUGCGAGACGUGCAGACCGACUGCACACGCACUGGCCUGGGCGGCUACUGGGUGAGCCUGUGAGCAGGCCCAGAAGGGGAUGGGACAUGAAGGGGGCUUUAGAUUAGUCCCCUCGCCCCAUGCACAGCAAGGUCCCCUUCCCAUCCUCCACCCUUUACCCUGCGGCCCACGCCCCCCAUGCACCACCCAAUACCCCAUCCUAUUCCUCUAUACCCCCGCCCUUUUCUCUCCCCACUGUGUCCCAGCGUUGUUCCUCAUUUCUGUAGGACACACCCACCUUCCACCCACAUCUCCUCUCUAACCCCCGCUCCCAGUGCCUCACCUCCUGGCCUAAGCCCCGCCCAUGAGCCAUCCGACCCUGCCUCCCUAGGGUAACAAGGGUGGCGUGAGCGUGCGCCUGGCGGCCUUCGGGCACAUGCUCUGCUUCCUGAACUGCCACUUGCCUGCGCAUAUGGACAAGGCGGAGCAGCGCAAGGACAACUUCCAGACCAUCCUCAGCCUCCAGCAGUUCCAAGGGCCGGGCGCACAGGGCAUCCUGGAUCAUGACCUCGUGUUCUGGUUCGGGGACCUGAACUUCCGCAUUGAGAGCUAUGACCUGCACUUUGUCAAGUUUGCCAUCGACAGUGACCAGCUCCAUCAGCUCUGGGAGAAGGACCAGCUCAACAUCGCCAAGAACACCUGGCCCAUUCUGAAGGGCUUUCAGGAGGGGCCCCUCAACUUCGCUCCCACCUUCAAGUUUGAUGUGGGUACCAACAAAUACGAUACCAGUGCCAAGAAACGGAAGCCAGCUUGGACAGACCGUAUCCUAUGGAAGGUCAAGGCUCCAGGUGGGGGUCCCAGCCCCUCAGGACGGAAGAGCCACCGACUCCAGGUGACGCAGCACAGCUACCGCAGCCACAUGGAAUACACAGUCAGCGACCACAAGCCUGUGGCUGCCCAGUUCCUCCUGCAGUUUGCCUUCAGGGACGACAUGCCACUGGUGCGGCUGGAGGUGGCAGAUGAGUGGGUGCGGCCCGAGCAGGCGGUGGUGAGGUACCGCAUGGAAACAGUGUUCGCCCGCAGCUCCUGGGACUGGAUCGGCUUGUACCGGGUAACAUUCAGUGAGGAAUCACUGCCCAAGGGCCAUGGAGACUUCAUCCUGGGCUACUAUAGUCACAACCACAGCAUCCUCAUCGGCGUCACUGAACCCUUCCAGGUAAGUAGGCCGGACUGCUGGGCUGGGGGUGCCUAAAGACUUUUGUCAAAUGCCACAGCCUCUACAUUCUGCUCCUUGAGUUCAGACAAAUAACCUGACCUCCCAAGAUCUGCCAACGAGAGAGGCAGACCUCGGGAGGUCAGGCCUCAGUGGCUGGGUUGGGGAGCAGGGCGCCCCAGUGACCAGCAUUUCCCCCAGAUCUCGCUGCCUUCCUCGGAGUUGGCCAGCAGCAGCACAGACAGCUCAGGCACCAGCUCAGAGGGAGAGGAUGACAGCACACUGGAGCUCCUUGCACCCAAGUCCCGCAGCCCCAGUCCUGGCAAGUCCAAGCGACACCGCAGCCGCAGCCCGGGACUGGCCAGGUUCCCUGGGCUUGCCCUACGGCCCUCAUCCUGUGAACGCCGUGGUGCCAGCCGUAGCCCCUCACCCCAGAGCCGCCGCCUGUCCCGAGUGGCUCCUGACAGGAGCAGUAAUGGCAGCAGCCGGGGAAGUAGUGAAGAGGGGCCCUCUGGGUUGCCUGGCCCCUGGGCCUUCCCACCAGCUGUGCCUCGAAGCCUGGGCCUGUUGCCCGCCUUGCGCCUAGAGACUGUAGACCCUGGUGGUGGUGGUUCCUGGGGACCUGAUCGGGAGGCCCUGGCCCCCAACAGCCUGUCUCCUAGUCCCCAGGGCCAUCGGGGGCUGGAGGAAGGGGGCCUGGGGCCCUGAGGGUGGGGUAGGCAGAUGGGCCAAGGUGACCACCAUUCUGCCUCAAUCUUUUGCAAGCCCACCUGCCUCUCUCCUGCUGCUCCUCCAGCUGUAUCUGCACCUGCCUCUCUGUCCUGGCCAGGGGUGGACAAGUGGGGUCCCCCAAAACUCAGUCCUGGCACCUCAACUGUGACAAUCAGCAAAGCCCCGCCCACGCCCCCAUCUGGGAUGAUGGGAGAGCUCUGGCAGAUGUCCCAAUCCUGGAGGUCAUCCGUUAGGAAUUAAAUUCUCCAGCCUC
rnacentral:sRNA from 1 species